rnacentral:rRNA from 1 species
AACGAACGCUGGCGGCAGGCUUAACACAUGCAAGUCGAACGCAUCGCAAGAUGAGUUGCAGACAGGUGAGUAACGCGUGGGAACGUACCCUUUUCUACGGAAUAGCUCUGGGAAACUGGAUUUAAUACCGUAUACGCCCUACGGGGCAAAGAUUUAUCGGGGAAGGAUUGGCCCGCGUUUGAUUAGGUAGUUGGUGGGGUAAAGGCCUACCAAGGCGACGAUCCAUAGCUGGUCUGAGAGGAUGAUCAGCCACAUUGGGACUGAUACACGGCCCAAACUCCUACGGGAGGCAGCAGUGGGGAAUAUUGGACAAUGGGCGAAACCUUGAUCCAGCCAUGCCGCGUGAGUGAUGAAGGCCUUAGGGUUGUAAAGCUCUUUCACCGAUGAAGAUAAUGACGGUAGUCGGAGAAGAAGCCCCGGCUAACUUCGUGCCAGCCGCCGCAGUAAGAC